rnacentral:rRNA from 1 species
GCCGGAGGAUGCAAGCGUUAUCCGGAAUGAUUGGGCGUAAAGCGUCCGCAGGUGGCAGUUCAAGUCUGCUGUCAAAGACCGGGGCUUAACUUCGGAAAGGCAGUGGAAACUGAACAGCUAGAGUAUGGUAGGGGCAGACGGAAUUCCGGGUGUAGCGGUGAAAUGCGUAGAUAUCAGGAAGAACAUCGGUGGCGAAGGCGCUCUGCUGGACCAUAACUGACACUCAGGGACGAAAGCUAGGGGAGCGAAUGGG